UCGCUAGUUGUCAGCGAGUAGUGGGAUCGUGCAGCACCUAUCGCAGGGAGCGGAGCAGAAUCGUAGCCGUUGACACAGCCUGUCAGAGAGUAGUGGGUCCGCCGCAGGGGGAGGUGGAACCGCACGGAAUCCGCUACAGGAAGUGGAAUAGGAUCAUGGCAGUUAUUGUUAUCUGCCAAGGGACGCGGAUCUGUUGAUCAAGGCUCG
rnacentral:lncRNA from 1 species